AUUGAACGCUGGCGGCAGGCCUAACACAUGCAAGUCGAACGAGUGGCGGACGGGUGAGUAAUGUCUGGAAAACUGCCUGAUGGAGGGGGAUAACUACUGGAAACGGUAGCUAAUACCGCAUACCAUCGGAUGUGCCCAGAUGGGAUUAGCUAGUAGGGGGGGUAAAGGCUAACCUAGGCGACGCUCCCUCGCUGGUCUGAGAGGAUGACCGGCCACAUGGGAACUGAGACACGGUCCAGACUCCUACGGGAGGCAGCAGUGGGGAAUAUUGCACAAUGGGCGCAAGACUGAUGCAGCCAUGCCGCGUGUAUGAAGAAGGCCUUCGGGUUGUAAAGUACUUUCAGCGGGGAGGCGUUACCCGCAGAAGAAGCACAGGCUAACUCCGUGCCAGCAGCCGCGGUAAUUC
rnacentral:rRNA from 1 species